GACGAACGCUGGCGGCGUGCUUAACACAUGCAAGUCGAACGGUGAUCCGGGUACUUGUACCUGGUGAUCAGUGGCGAACGGGUGAGUAACACGUGAGUAACCUGCCCUCCACUCUGGGAU
rnacentral:rRNA from 1 species